CCUACGGGAGGCAGCAGUGGGGAAUUUUGGACAAUGGGCGCAAGCCUGAUCCAGCAAUGCCGCGUGAGUGAAGAAGGCCUUCGGGUUGUAAAGCUCUUUUGUCAGGGAAGAAACGGUUGGGGCUAAUAUCCUCGGCUAAUGACGGUACCUGAAGAAUAAGCACCGGCUAACUACGUGCCAGCAGCCGCGGUAAUACGUAGGGUGCAAGCGUUAAUCGGAAUUACUGGGCGUAAAGCGUGCGCAGGCGGUUUUGUAAGUCUGUCGUGAAAGCCCCGGGCUUAACCUGGGAAUUGCGAUGGAGACUGCAAGGCUUGAAUCUGGCAGAGGGGGGUAGAAUUCCACGUGUAGCAGUGAAAUGCGUAGAGAUGUGGAGGAACACCGAUGGCGAAGGCAGCCCCCUGGGUCAAGAUUGACGCUCAUGCACGAAAGCGUGGGGAGCAAACAGGAUUAGAUACCCUGGUAGUCCACGCCCUAAACGAUGUCUACUAGUUGUCGGGUCUUAAUUGACUUGGUAACGCAGCUAACGCGUGAAGUAGACCGCCUGGGGAGUACGGUCGCAAGAUUAAAACUUAAAGGAAUUGACGG
rnacentral:rRNA from 1 species